UAGCUAGUUGGUGAGGUAAAGGCUUACCAAGGCGACGAUCUGUAGCGGGUCUGAGAGGAUGAUCCGCCACACUGGAACUGAGACACGGUCCAGACUCCUACGGGAGGCAGCAGUGGGGAAUUUUGGACAAUGGGGGCAACCCUGAUCCAGCCAUGCCGCGUGAGUGAAGAAGGCCUUCGGGUUGUAAAGCUCUUUCGGCCGGGAAGAAAUCGCAUGGGCCAAUACCCUGUGUGGAUGACGGUACCGGAAUAAGAAGCACCGGCUAACUACGUGCCAGCAGCCGCGGUAAUACGUAGGGUGCGAGCGUUAAUCGGAAUUACUGGGCGUAAAGCGUGCGCAGGCGGUUUUGUAAGACAGGCGUGAAAUCCCCGGGCUUAACCUGGGAACUGCGUUUGUGACUGCAAGGCUAGAGUACGGCAGAGGGGGGUGGAAUUCCACGUGUAGCAGUGAAAUGCGUAGAGAUGUGGAGGAACACCAAUGGCGAAGGCAGCCCCCUGGGUCGAUACUGACGCUCAUGCACGAAAGCGUGGGUAGCAAACAGGAUUAGAUACCCUGGUAGUCCACGCCCUAAACUAUGUCAACUAGGUGUUGGGUGGGUAAAACCAUUUAGUACCGUAGCUAACGCGUGAAGUUGACCGCCUGGGGAGUACGGCCGCAAGGUUAAAACUCAAAGGAACUGACGGGGACCCGCACAAGCGGUGGAUGAUGUGGAUUAAUUCGAUGCAACGCGAAAAACCUUACCUACCCUUGACAUGCCAGGAACUUGCCAGAGAUGGCUUGGUGCCCGAAAGGGAGCCUGGACACAGGUGCUGCAUGGCUGUCGUCAGCUCGUGUCGUGAGAUGUUGGGUUAAGUCCCGCAACGAGCGCAACCCUUGUCGUUAAUUGCCAUCAUUUAGUUGGGCACUUUAACGAGACUGCCGGUGACAAACCGGAGGAAGGUGGGGAUGACGUCAAGUCCUCAUGGCCCUUAUGGGUAGGGCUUCACACGUCAUACAAUGGUCGGUACAAAGGGUUGCCAAGCCGCGAGGCGGAGCCAAUCCCAGAAAGCCGAUCGUAGUCCGGAUUGCAGGCUGCAACUCGCCUGCAUGAAGUCGGAAUCGCUAGUAAUCGUGGAUCAGCAUGUCACGGUGAAUACGUUCCCGGGUCUUGUACACACCGCCCGUCACACCAUGGGAGCGGGUUCCGCCAGAAGUAGGUAGCCUAACCGCAAGGGGGGCGCUUACCACGGCGGGGUUCGUGACUGGGGUGAAGUCGUAACAAGGUAGCCGUAGGGGAACCUGCGGCUG
rnacentral:rRNA from 1 species